CAGGACUAUCAUAUUGGGGACCGUCUUCUCUGCUCUCCCUUUAUGGGGGUCGGGAGAACGAUGGGUCAAGGGUUGUCCGAAGAAAGCGAGAAAGCGACGGGCGCCUUCAAAAGCCCCCUUGGCGAUGGGUUACAGUAAGAGGUACUUCCAGGCUUGGGCAUCUGCUGGAAACAGGGGUGGGUAGGGUCGUGUCAUCUAAAGGCGCAGCCUCAACCAGAAGACUGGAAGUCAGCCAGGAGCUGGGAGUAGUUUCACGCGGGGUGGGGGUUCCUAUGAGCAUCACUUUACAAAACCAGGAGGGACGGAAGCGAGAGGGGGCAGGGUCUUGGGAACAGGUCCUGGGGCAACUGCAACAGAAUAUAACCGCCGCGUGUAGGGGAAGGGGGCGCCAGGGAGAGGGCGCAGUCUCUGAAUCUUUCCACGGCAUCCAUCCUAGGGCCCCUCCCGGUUCAACGGUCUCCUAACCUGUAGUUACCCACAAGAGCGUGCCCCUUCUGCCCGCCCUUCCUAGCAUUGCUCCUUGCUUGGCCAAGCCCUGCGGAGUUUCUCGCCUCUAAACCCCGCCUCUCCUUGCAACAUGUGUUGGCCUCAUCUACCCAGCAACUGUCGACGUCACACGACCUGGACCUCCCUGAAUGGGAGAUAUUUACUAGACAAUCCCGCCUACUGUUCUGAGGUUUCCCCUCCAGGUGCCGCUUCGCAGCCAGGCGAACCAGGAAGGACCGAAGCAGGCGAGGUGGAAGUCUGCAUUAUCAUGAGGAGCUUGGAAAGGAGGUAACACACUCAAAGUAAAUUUCGAGUAACUCCUUCUAGAGGCAGCUGCCUACUCUGCAGCUGUGGUUCUCCACCACAGAGAGAAGAAAAGGGAGGGAGAUGGAGUGCGCAGGUCUGAGAAGGCUUUCAUUCUGGAGCGUCUGCAGGAGCCUGUACCAUGGCCCAGUAGCACCCCUUUUUCUCCAUGAGCUGCUGGUGGGUUCCCCCCUCCCGGAUAGUGCCUCCUUCCAGAAAGAGGAUGUGGUCAGCCUGCUCCACCAGGCUGAGGUUCUGGGUGAUGAGAAGCACUGAGCGAGAGUACCGCUCAGGACUUUCGUACAGGAGCUGCUCCACCUGAGGAAAGACAUCGGACCGUCAGAGCUGGGAGCCCAGGGAGCCACCUUUGUUUCCAGGGCUGGGACUGACCUCACAGGAUCACUGCUGACUCUGCCAACAACCCUAAGGACACCAAAGUUUCCCAUUCUGAGUACUUCUCUGCAAACCCUUUGUUUCAUAAGAACUGUUUUAAAUGAAGGGUGCGAAAGUGGGAUAAAAGUGAGAGUCCUAGAGUGAAACACAUGACAGAAAAAUAAAGACUAUUGAAUAGUCCUCUUCUCUA